CUAGAUUGUCAAUUUCUCAUUUGUUCUUCUGCAUACACUUAGCACAGAGACAAAUAAUGUUACUAAUUACCUAAAGCUCACAUUCUUCAACCAUAAACCGCCACUAGCUGUUAUGAUAUAAACUCCAGCAUUUGGAAAACAUCCACAUGACAGCCUAGAAUUGAAGAGAAAAAUGUUAAUCUUUAAACAUGGAGCACGAGAUGAAAUAUCAGAGCUGUCAUGUGAGGACUGUACUUUACUCCUCUCACAGAGAAAACUACGGGCUUCAACGCAUUCUACACAAUGGAGUUGAGUUUCAGUUCUCUGUUGGCUUUGAUUCUCUUCUGGGAUUCUCUGUGUGUCCAAUCUGAGACCGCAGCACACAGAAACUCUGGAGAGUCGCUGCAGACUGUGAUGAACUCUCAAAUAAACCGUCUGCAGGUCAGACCUGAAAACUCUGUUCACAUUCAUCCAGGACAAAAGCUGACGCUUCGGUGCCAAGGUGAAGGAGAUGAAGUGCUGGUGCAGUUCUGGCAGACACCUUUCGGUCAGUUUGACAGCUGUAACCACCAAAACAAAGACCCAGUGUACACAUGCAAUGGCACUCUGAAGAUUUCAAGAGCCACAUCCAGCCAUGAUGGACUCUAUUACUGUGUCCAUCUGGACAAGAUGAGCAAAACAAUCGUGCCUUAUAGAGUUAACGUAGUUUCUCGGCAGAGGAAGACCAGGGAGGCAGGGGUUUACAGCGACACGGUGUCAGAAAGUCAUUUCGCGGCGGCUGUGGCAUCAUCAGUAAUCGUGAGUUUUUCAGUGGCCUUCACACUCGGUGCAUUCAGUAGAUCCUACGUGAUGAAGUGCCUACGAACGAUAAGGGCCCGCAUGCCUCAUAGAAAAGACCAUCACAAUCACAUCAACGGACAAACCACCAGAGCACAAACUGACACAGUGUUCUUCCAUAAAAACCAAACCGCUGGAGGAGACGCUGUGGACACUGGUUUGGCUGAUCGGGAACGCAUGGAUGUCGAUGACGCGGACGCUAUCGGAAAUGAUAUAAACGAGUCAAGUGAGCCUCAGAGUUGUGAAGGAGAAGAACAACCCCCACGGUUGAGAUCAGCAGCUAGCCCACAUCCAAAGAAGAAGAUCCGCGUCAUUAAAGUCUACAACUAUGAUGAAGAAGGGUCUCCAUACAGCCAUAUCAAAGACUCAGGGACGGAGGGUGGAGACGAGGUCAGGCCCAAACUGAGGACGAAGUCACUGACGCGACUCAAUGCCAUCAUGAAACAGGCUGAAGCUCUUAACAUCAACCCAGACAGAGAGCAGACUGACGUCCAGACGAUUCAAGAGGACGCUCCUUCACAUGAAGACAGUGUUUCAGCUUCAGCAGGAGACACCGGAGACUCACAAACAGGCCGAGGGACACAUUUAUGA
ensembl:lncRNA